GUACAUGCUACAUAUUAUUCAAGAAUUUCUGUUUCAUCAAAAUAUCACAAAGUAAUUGGUAUACUGACAAACUAGGCCCAGCAACACCGGGCAAAUUCGGGGCAUAACGGACGGGCAAUUGAGUGCAGCCGUGCAGGCAACUUUCAGCCACCAGGGAGCACUGACUGAGCGCAUAGUUGCUUAGAAGCAACGGAAGAAGGAAGAAAAUGGCGUGCUAUCGCACCUACGUUGUCCGUCCGACUGGUCCACCUGUUAAUGCGUUCAUUCUGUUUGGCAGGUAGCUAGUCGAAAAUAUGUGUCUCGCCAGAGUAUUACAUACACAAACGUUCAACGGAAAGUGAAUAAGGGAUCCUUGGAAGCACAAUGGAUGAAGCAGUGCUGUGACUUUGUAUCAUCUGAUGUGAUGAUGGCUUCUCUUUGCCUGGUGCCUUGAAAGAGGACAAAAACAAAGAAGAGGGCUCGGGGCAGAAAAGAGAACGGCUGUCGUCCAAAGAGGCUGUGCUGUGUGGGCUUCACCUCUCAAUGUGAGGGUUUUUCAGCUGCUGCCCAUUCCCUCUGGUCAGAAACCUGAAUGCACACGGGAGGAUGGGGUGUCGGGCAGGCUACAAGGCAGUAGUAGGGGAAACACUGGAGUGUGAGAUCAGCUGUGCCUCUGCUGAAUAAAGCUCUUCUGCACUUUGGGUUCUCGAGGUCAGAAUAGGAAAAACAUUGCCAGAGUGUCCGUCAGCCUGCAGAGGAGUCAUGCAGCUUGGAGGCUGGGACACUCUGACCAGCGUUGAGUGCGGAGCAGUUACAGAGCAAAUGAAAAACUCUCUUGCUUACCAUAUUUGUGGCUCUGUUUUGGUCUCCACCAACUCCUGAGGGAAACAUCUGGCUCUUAAGCUGCUAAAUGUUCACCAGCUUUUUGAUGAGAUGUAGAUCUUAUGGGAGAUGCUGGUCUACUACUGACUCAACCAGUUAAUUCGUUACUUUGGCAAUUUAACGUAUAAGUACAUCCUGCUGAACCCGAUCGGACUGGAGCCCCUGGACAUGCAGCUGAGACAAACCUGGCGAAUGCGACCUCUCUCUGUUUGUCAGCAAGCCGGGCAGUGCUGCAGUGCGACCCCAGAGACCCCCGAGGCCCUCUCAGAGCUCUGCAAGCUGGCACCUUGUUUCUGCCAGUCCCUGUCGUGCUUGCUCUGCGACCAAACCAAGCCUGAACACCUGCAGUGAGAGCUACGACAAGUGCUCCGGUUGAACAACCAUCCAACGCAGUUCAUAUGUCACAGUCUCUCCUAAUGGAAUACAAAUGACGUAUUUUCUCAGGUCACAACCUCUCAGUUAUGUUCCAGAAUACUAAAUCUCAGUCCUGGUCGUGACAUGUAGACGUUUUGAAGACUGUGACAGUGGAACUAAAUUCUUCCUAUCCAGACACUGUGUCACAGGUAAUACGACUGUGGGUUUCUUUGGGCUUUCGAGAAAGAAGAGGAUGAGGAGAGCAGAAACUGGGAGGAGAGGAGCGUAUGGUGUAUAAUCACACAGACUGGAUAACAUUGAAAUGCCUCGGGCCAGCACUGACAAACACAGCUGCUUACUGACACAGUAAAUCUACUGGAUGACUCUCUGCCCCUCUCUGCCUGCCUGCAAGCACACAUACGCACACACACACACACACACACACACACACACACACACACAUACGCACACACACACACACACACACUUGAAACUGUGCAUGUUGGAGGGUUUGUGCAGUGCCACUGGGCUCUCUCAGGUUGGAUAAUAACUCUUGGCCUGUCAGAGCGGAGUGCUAGCUGUCCAAAAAGCUGUCAACAUCCCACUUACCCUAAACCCGGCACGACUACGGUCUGUGCUUACGGGAUCUUUGCAGGCAGUCUUCCCGACACUCUUUAGCUGGCACAUGCUGUCGCAGCCCCAGGAGUCAGACGCAGCUUUGUUUUACUGUAACUGAUGGUGAAAGAAAAGUUUGCACAAUUGUUUUCAUGAAUGUUCAUUUAGGUCAAUGGAGCUGGAGCUGGCCAGGGUAACCUUAACCCUUCUGCUUAACAAACUGGAGAUAAUAAGGGGACAUGAACUGUAAUGGCCUUAUUUGACCAACUAGAUCCUGGAGCUGUAGAACCAAAGGCCCACGGCUAGACCCUUUAGCACAUUCCCAACCUGGCCUUGUAACUUUACAAUUUUAAAUUUCAUGCAAAACAUCAAAGUCCAAUUUUCCAUGCAGGUGAUAUGAAAAUCCCUUCCAUCAACUUCUGAGGAAAGCAGGUUAGUAGUCAGGGGACCUUUGUCGACAUCAAUGCAUAGGUGACAUGAACAUGUAAUCAUUACAGGUUGGUACGGUUUUGCCAACAAAACUACUUGGUUAAGGUUAGGAAAAGAUUACACUACCUAAGUAUAAUUUGUAAUGUCGUUUAAGUUACGAGCAUUGGCUUUUGGAUUUAACCGUGCUCUUCUUAGGGAUAAAGUCCUGUGUUGUUGUCCUGUACUUUACUGCGUCAUCUGACUAGACUAACUUAAUGAGAAGAAUGGGUGUGCCACCCGCAAGUUCUCCUGGUCCUAAUAUUAGCACAAAAUGUCUCUUACUCAAACUACGAAAAACGUAAACGUCAAAAAUAAAUAAAUGCAUCAUUAAGGCUUUCCUGUAAGAGCAACUUUCCGUGAAGUCGCCCCUACCAAAAAUAUACCACUUCUUUGUUUUUUUGAGUGAAGCACACACGUUGUAGUUGCCUGUGGUCGCGGUUUUGGGAAAGUAUAUUUGGUCCCAACUCCUCCUGCUGAAACACAGGUAAAGGUCCUGAGUUCCUCUAACAGUUCUUGGGCCGCUGGGAAAGUUCCUGUUGUCGUAACGCCCAAGCUGAUAUUUGAUUUUCAGGCUAAACUUUGCUGUUACAACUCUGGUGGUAGAAGGUAAAAAAGAGGAGUGGGACUCCACACUUCUUUCAUCCAUCUGUUCAUCUUUACGCUUCUUUGUUUCUAUCAUGUAACUGUUUGACGGCAUCUUUAACUUUUUACGUGAACUGACCUGAUUUGAAGACCUCGCCGUAUUCCCUCCUUGCCGUAUGUUUGUGUGUUCAUUGUGUGAACAUGAGUUAAUGUCAUUAAAUGAUGUAACAGCAUUAUGUCUUUUCCAAGGCUGCCCCCCGCCCCCCAUCCCCCCUCUCUUUAUUUUUUUCCCCCACCCUCCCUCUGGCUGCAGUAAGGCCCAGAUGAAAAUAUGAACUCAGAGAGAGAAGUUAAUCUCCCGCACAAACGCAGAGCGGAGGCUGUAACUCAAUACAAGCUGCUUUGUGGGAGGCCAACUUGUCCUCAUCUCAGAGAAUUAAUACAAGUUGUCCACUUAUGAGGAAUGAGAUUAAACUGUAGUUGGCUCUUAUUAAAGCCCAGAAUGAACACAGAGGCAUUAAAGAUCUCUGUGUGAGAGUGUGCGAGGGUUGGAAGGUGCAAAACGCAUGUGUGUGUGCGUGCGUGUGUGUGUGUGUGUGUGUGUGUGUGUGUGUGCAGGGUGGGGGCUCGAGAUUCCCAAGCAGGCCUUAUUGGAGAUGAUUACGCUCAUAAAACCUCUGCUCUCUAAAUUGCCCCCUCCUCCUCCUCUUCCUCCUCCUCCUUCCAUCUACAGUCUAAACACACUUAAUCAAGCGCAGGUGUGUCCUGAUGCAUUUACAGACGCCUCGCCGACAGACGGCAACAACACAAGCGAGGAGAGGAAGCAGGAGACAUUUAGCCGUCUUUUCAUUGUCUUGAGGUUGACAGAUAUGAAUGAAAAUCAUGAAUGAGAACAAAUGUGUCACAUGUUGGUUGUCUUUUACUUUGUUUUCUUAAUUUCUGUUCCCUCUCCUCUCCUCCAUCACUCCUCUCUCUUCCUCUCCCUCCAUCUUAAUUCACUUCUGGAUCAGCCAGUGUCGGGGAUCUGUGGGUUAAUACGGUUACCGGGAUAACAAUCUCCCCCUGCAUCGCUCCAUGAUAGAUGGGCACUGUGUGUGUGUGUGUGUGUGUGUGUGUGUGUGUGUGUGUGUGUGUGUGUGUGUGUGUG